GACGAACGCUGGCGGCGUGCCUAAUACAUGCAAGUAGAACGCUGAAGGAGGAGCUUGCUUCUCUGGAUGAGUUGCGAACGGGUGAGUAACGCGUAGGUAACCUGCCUGGUAGCGGGGGAUAACUAUUGGAAACGAUAGCUAAUACCGCAUAAUAGUAGAUGUUGCAUGACAUUUGCUUAAAAGGUGCAAUUGCAUCACUACCAGAUGGACCUGCGUUGUAUUAGCUAGUUGGUGGGGUAACGGCUCACCAAGGCGACGAUACAUAGCCGACCUGAGAGGGUGAUCGGCCACACUGGGACUGGGACACGGCCCAGACUCCUACGGGAGGCAGCAGUAGGGAAUCUUCGGCAAUGGACGGAAGUCUGACCGAGCAACGCCGCGGGAGUGAAGAAGGUUUUCGGAUCGUAAAGCUCUGUUGUAAGGGAAGAACGAGUGUGAGAGUGGAAAGUUCACACUGUGACGGUAGCUUACCAGAAAGGGACGGCUAACUACGUG
rnacentral:rRNA from 1 species